rnacentral:rRNA from 1 species
AAGAGACAGCAGUCGCCGCGGUAAUACGUAGGUGGCAAGCGUUGUCCGGAAUUAUUGGGCGUAAAGGGCUCGCAGGCGGUUUCUUAAGUCUGAUGUGAAAGCCCCCGGCUCAACCGGGGAGGGUCAUUGGAAACUGGGAAACUUGAGUGCAGAAGAGGAGAGUGGAAUUCCGCGUGUAGCGGUGAAAUGCGUAGAGAUGUGGAGGAACACCAGUGGCGAAGGCGACUCUCUGGUCUGUAACUGACGCUGAGGAGCGAAAGCGUGGGGAGCGAACAGGAUUAGAUACCCGAGUAGUCCCUGUCUCUUAUAC